CCAGAUGUCUAAUUAUCCUCCUGUCUCCAGAGGGGCCUCCUUAUUGCGCCUUCAUUUCUCACCUUGGAUACAGUAUGGCAGGGUCCUGCAACGUCAACAGAGCCUGCCCUGCCUGGCAGCUUCUGCAACACUCAGUAUUUUCACCGAUCAUUCUGAUGGUUUGAUCACACAGUGAUGAGAAUGAGUUAGAGAAUGGAAGAAUAAUAUUUGGAUUUCAACACAAUAAUGAAAAUGCAGAGACUGCCUUUGACUUUUACAAGUUUCAGUCGAGACAACAUUGUCUUACCCAAGGUUCACGUUUUCCAAGUGGUCCCUGUUUCCAAGGAUUUGUGGUGUUCCAGUUGGUCUAUGGGAUUUUAUGUUUGGCUCUCUGAAUUACUUUAUUCAAGUUCGUCCAAGGAUAGAGUUUGGUUAUAUUGCCUGGUUUUUACCUGCCUUGCUCCAUGGAAUUUCUACAACUUGAUGUUAUGGAUUUAAUCUGAAACUUUAAAAAACAUUCUUUCCUCCU
rnacentral:lncRNA from 11 species